rnacentral:tRNA from 1 species
GGGCCGUUAGCUCAGUGGUAGAGCAGUUGGCUUUUAACCAAUUGGUCGAAGGUUCGAAUCCCUCACGACCCACCA